rnacentral:rRNA from 1 species
AUACGGAGGGUGCAAGCGUUAAUCGGAAUUACUGGGCGUAAAGCGUACGUAGGCGGUUCGUUAAGUUAGAUGUGAAAGCCCCGGGCUUAACCUGGGAACUGCAUUUAAAACUGGCGGACUAGAGUUGAGUAGAGGGGAGUGGAAUUUCAGGUGUAGCGGUGAAAUGCGUAGAGAUCUGAAGGAACACCAGUGGCGAAGGCGACUCCCUGGACUCGAACUGACGCUGUGGUACGAAAGCGUGGGUAGCAAACGGGAUUAGAAACCCUAGUAGUCC